rnacentral:misc_RNA from 1 species
AAAAGAACUAGGGAACACUUGGAGCAAUUUGGGGCUGCUGGACUUCGGACACUUUGCUUGGCUUAUAGAGAUGUAACUGCUGAUGAGUAUGAAAAAUGGAAUGAGAAAUUCAUUCAAGCAAAAUCUUCUCUUCGGGACCGUGAGAAGAAAUUGGAUGAGGUGGCAGAACUGAUAGAAAAGGAACUUGUCUUGAUUGGAUCCACUGCCAUAGAAGAUAAGCUUCAAGAAGGUGUACCUGAGUGCAUAGAAACUCUUUCAAGGGCUGGAAUUAAGAUUUGGGUGCUUACUGGUGACAAAUUGGAAACAGCGAUAAAUAUAGCUUAUGCAUGCAAGUUGAUCAAUAACAGCAUGAAACAAUUUAUCAUUAGUUCUGAAACUGAUGCAAUCAGAGAAGUGGAAGAUAGAGGUGAUCUAGUGGAGCUUGCUCGUUUUAUGAAAGAAACUGUGCAGAACGAGCUUAAAAGAUGUUAUGAGGAAGCGCAAGAGCAUCUUCAUUCUGUUUCUGGACCAAAAUUAGCACUAGUAAUUGAUGGGAAGUGUUUGAUGUAUGCACUAGACCCGAGUCUUCGUGUAAUGCUGUUGAA